UACGUAGGGUGCGAGCGUUAAUCGGAAUUACUGGGCGUAAAGCGUGCGCAGGCGGUUUUGUAAGACAGGCGUGAAAUCCCCGGGCUUAACCUGGGAAUUGCGCUUGUGACUGCAAGGCUAGAGUGCGUCAGAGGGGGGUAGAAUUCCACGUGUAGCAGUGAAAUGCGUAGAGAUGUGGAGGAAUACCGAUGGCGAAGGCAGCCCCCUGGGACGUGACUGACGCUCAUGCACGAAAGCGUGGGGAGCAAACAGGAUUAGAUACCCUGGUAGUCCACGCCCUAAACGAUGUCAACUAGUUGUUGGGGAUUCAUUUUCUCAGUAACGUAGCUAACGCGUGAAGUUGACCGCCUGGGGAUACGGUCGCAAGAUUAAAACCUCAAG
rnacentral:rRNA from 1 species